AUGCAGGGCGGCGGCGGCGGCGGGAUGGAGGAGGCGGCGGCGGCGGCCAAGAACCGGAGCGGCGGUGUUGGUGAGCGCGCCGCCGUGGAGGUGCUGGAGGGGCCUCGUUUCCGGCGGGUGUGUGUGUUCUGCGGGAGCAGCUCCGGGAAGCGCAGCAGCUACCGCGACGCCGCCGUCGAGCUGGGCAAGGAACUGGUUGCUCGUCGGAUGGAUCUGGUGUACGGAGGAGGCAGCCUGGGGCUCAUGGGGGAGGUCUCGGAGGCCGUCCACAAGGCCGGCGGCCACGUCAUCGGCGUCAUACCUACCACUCUCAUGGGCAAGGAGAUCACCGGGGAGACGGUGGGGGAGGUGGUGGCGGUGUCGGGGAUGCACGAGCGGAAGGCGGCCAUGGCGCGCAACGCCGACGCUUUCAUCGCGCUGCCCGGCGGCUACGGCACCCUGGACGAGCUGCUCGAGGUCAUCGCAUGGGCGCAGCUCGGCAUCCACACCAAGCCAGUGGGGCUGCUGAACGUGGAUGGGUACUACGACUUCCUGCUGGCCUUCAUCGACAAGGCGGUGGACGACGGCUUCAUCAGGCCAUCCCAGCGCCACAUCUUCGUCAGCGCGCCCGACGCCAGGAGCCUCGUCCGCAAGCUCGAGGAGUACGUGGCGGUGGUGGACGACCCGGCGACGCCCAAGCUGCGGUGGGAGAUCGAGCAGGUCGGCUACAACGCCACGCUCCAGGCAGAAAUCGCCCGCUGA
rnacentral:rRNA from 1 species